rnacentral:rRNA from 1 species
CCUACGGGAGGCUGCAGUGAGGAAUAUUGGUCAAUGGGCGGAAGCCUGAACCAGCCAAGUCGCGUGAGGGAAUAAGGCCCUACGGGUCGUAAACCUCUUUUGCCGGGGAGCAAGGGCGGGGACGUGUCCCGGCCCGGAGAGUACCCGGAGAAAAAGCAUCGGCAAACUCCGGGCCGGCAGCCGCGGUAAUACGGAGGAUGCGAGCGUUAUCCGGAUUUUUUGGGUUUAAGGGGUGCGUAGGCGGGCUUUUAAGUCAGCGGUAAAAAUUCGGGGCUCAACCCCGUCCUGCCGUUGAAACUGGCGGCCUUGAGUGGGCGAGAAGAAGGCGGAAUGCGUGGUGUAGCGGUGAAAUGCAUAGAUAUCACGCAGAACCCCGAUUGCGAAGGCAGCCUUCCGGCGCCCUACUGACGCUGAGGCACGAAAGUGCGGGGAUCGAACAGGAUUAGAUACCCCUGUAGUC